CCAGACUCCUACGGGAGGCAGCAGUGAGGAAUAUUGGUCAAUGGGCGGGAGCCUGAACCAGCCAAGCCGCGUGAGGGAAGAAGGUACAGCGUAUCGUAAACCUCUUUUGUCAGGGAACAAAGGCGGGGACGUGUCCCCGGAUGAGUGUACCUGAAGAAAAAGCAUCGGCUAACUCCGUGCCAGCAGCCGCGGUAAUACGGAGGAUGCGAGCGUUAUCCGGAUUUAUUGGGUGUAAAGGGAGCGUAGGUGGCAUGGUAAGCCAGAAGUGAAAACCCAGGGCUCAACUCUGUGGAUUGCUUUUGGAACUAUCAAGCUAGAGUGCUGGAGGGGUAAGCGGAAUUCCUAGUGUAGCGGUGAAAUGCGUAGAUAUUAGGAGGAACACCGGUGGCGAAGGCGGCUUACUGGACAGAAACUGACACUGAGGCUCGAAAGCGUGGGGAGCAAACAGGAUUAGAUACCCCUGUAA
rnacentral:rRNA from 1 species